rnacentral:sRNA from 1 species
GUGCCCCGGAGACACGGUCGAAGC